GACGAACGCUGGCGGCGUGCCUAAUACAUGCAAGUCGAGCGGACGAAUCGAAAGCUUGCUUUUGAUUCGUUAGCGGCGGACGGGUGAGUAACACGUGGGCAACCUGCCCUGUAGACGGGGAUAACACCGAGAAAUCGGUGCUAAUACCGGAUAACACGAAAUGUCGCAUGACGUUUCGUUGAAAGACGGCGCAAGCUGUCGCUACAGGAUGGGCCCGCGGCGCAUUAGCUAGUUGGUGAGGUAACGGCUCACCAAGGCGACGAUGCGUAGCCGACCUGAGAGGGUGAUCGGCCACACGGGGACUGAGACACGGCCCAGACUCCUACGGGAGGCAGCAGUAAGGAAUCUUCCGCAAUGGACGAAAGUCUGACGGAGCAACGCCGCGUGAGAGAAGAAGGCCUUCGGGUCGUAAAGCUCUGUUGUUAGGGAAGAACAAGUAACGCAGUAACUGGCGUUACCGUGACGGUACCUAACGAGAAAGCCACGGCUAACUACGUG
rnacentral:rRNA from 1 species